UACGUCUAGUGGCGCACGGGUGCGUAACGCGUGGGAAUCUGCCCCUCGGUUCGGAAUAACAGUUAGAAAUGACUGCUAAUACCGGAUGAUGACGAAAGUCCAAAGAUUUAUCGCCGAGGGAUGAGCCCGCGUAAGAUUAGCUAGUUGGUAGGGUAAAGGCCUACCAAGGCGACGAUCUUUAGCUGGUCUGAGAGGAUGAUCAGCCACACUGGGACUGAGACACGGCCCAG
rnacentral:rRNA from 1 species